GGUAACUAAACCAGGAAGUCCACGGCUAAUACGUGCCAGCAGCUGCGGGUAAUACGUAGGUGGCAAGCGUGUCCGGAAUUAUUGGGCGUAAAGCGGCGCGCAGGCGGUCUAUUAAGUCUGAUGUGAAACCCCCGGCUCACCCGGGAGGGUCAUUGGAAACUGGGAGACUUGAGUGCAGGAAGAAGGAGAGUGGAAUUUCCACGUGUAGCGAUGAAAUGCGUAGAGAUGUGGAGGAACACCAGUGGCGAAGGCGACUUCUGGUCUGUAACUGACGCUGAGGCGCGAAAGCGUGGGGAGCGAACAGGAUUAGAUACCCUGGUAGUCCACGCCGUAAACGAUGAGUGCUAAGUGUUAGAGGGUUUCCGCCCUUUAGUGCUGCAGCAAACGCAUUAAGCACUCCGCCUGGGGAGUACGGCCGCAAGGCUGAAACUCAAAGGAAUUGACGGGGGCCCGCACAAGCGGUGGAGCAUGUGGUUUAAUUCGAAGCAACGCGAAGAACCUUACCAGGUCUUGACAUCCUCUGACAAUCCUAGAGAUAGGGCUUUCCCCUUCGGGGGACAGAGUGACAGGUGGUGCAUGGUUGUCGUCAGCUCGUGUCGUGAGAUGUUGGGUUAAGUCCCGCAACGAGCGCAACCCUUGAUCUUAGUUGCCAGCAUUCAGUUGGGCACUCUAAGGUGACUGCCGGUGACAAACCGGAGGAAGGUGGGGAUGACGUCAAAUCAUCAUGCCCCUUAUGACCUGGGCUACACACGUGCUACAAUGGAUGGUACAAAGGGCUGCAAGACCGCGAGGUUUAGCCAAUCCCAUAAAACCAUUCUCAGUUCGGAUUGCAGGCUGCAACUCGCCUGCAUGAAGCCGGAAUCGCUAGUAAUCGCGGAUCAGCAUGCCGCGGUGAAUACGUUCCCGGGCCUUGUACACACCGCCCGUCACACCACGAGAGUUUGUAACACCCGAAGUCGGUAGAGUAACAUGCAAGCUGCACAGCGAAGAGAGUCCAAACGGAGCGAA
rnacentral:rRNA from 1 species